UACGAAGGGGGCUAGCGUUGCUCGGAAUCACUGGGCGUAAAGCGCACGUAGGCGGCCUCUUAAGUCGGUGGUGAAAUCCUGGAGCUCAACUCCAGAACUGCCUUCGAUACUGUGAGGCUUGAGUCCGGGAGAGGUGAGUGGAACUGCGAGUGUAGAGGUGAAAUUCGUAGAUAUUCGCAAGAACACCAGUGGCGAAGGCGGCUCACUGGCCCGGUACUGACGCUGAGGUGCGAAAGCGUGGGGAGCAAACAGG
rnacentral:rRNA from 1 species